UUAGGUUUUCUUCAUUUUCUUUUGAAAUUUGUCUGGAUUCUUGUUGUUGAAGGUUGAUAGAGAUGAUAUGAAGAUGAAGAAGAGGAGGAG
rnacentral:pre_miRNA from 1 species